AGAGUUUGAUCAUGGCUCAGGACGAACGCUGGCGGUGUGCUUAAUACAUGCAAGUCGAACAGAGUUUGAUCAUGGCUCAGAUUGAACGCUGGCGGCAGGCCUAACACAUGCAAGUCGAGCGGCAGCGGAAAGUAGCUUGCUACUUUGCCGGCGAGCGGCGGACGGGUGAGUAAUGUCUGGGAAACUGCCUGAUGGAGGGGGAUAACUACUGGAAACGGUAGCUAAUACCGCAUAACGUCGCAAGACCAAAGAGGGGGACCUUCGGGCCUCUUGCCAUCAGAUGUGCCCAGAUGGGAUUAGCUAGUAGGUGGGGUAACGGCUCACCUAGGCGACGAUCCCUAGCUGGUCUGAGAGGAUGACCAGCCACACUGGAACUGAGACACGGUCCAGACUCCUACGGGAGGCAGCAGUGGGGAAUAUUGCACAAUGGGCGCAAGCCUGAUGCAGCCAUGCCGCGUGUAUGAAGAAGGCCUUCGGGUUGUAAAGUACUUUCAGCGGGGAGGAAGGUGCUGAGGUUAAUAACCUCAGCAAUUGACGUUACCCGCAGAAGAAGCACCGGCUAACUCCGUGCCAGCAGCCGCGGUAAUACGGAGGGUGCAAGCGUUAAUCGGAAUUACUGGGCGUAAAGCGCACGCAGGCGGUCUGUCAAGUCGGAUGUGAAAUCCCCGGGCUCAACCUGGGAACUGCAUUCGAAACUGGCAGGCUAGAGUCUUGUAGAGGGGGGUAGAAUUCCAGGUGUAGCGGUGAAAUGCGUAGAGAUCUGGAGGAAUACCGGUGGCGAAGGCGGCCCCCUGGACAAA
rnacentral:rRNA from 1 species